rnacentral:rRNA from 2 species
UUUAAAGAGAGUUUGAUCCUGGCUCAGGACGAACGCUGGCGGCGUGCCUAAUACAUGCAAGUCGAACGAACGGAGGAAGAGCUUGCUCUUCCAAAGUUAGUGGCGGACGGGUGAGUAACACGUGGGCAACCUGCCUGUAAGUUGGGGAUAACUCCGGGAAACCGGGGCUAAUACCGAAUGAUAAGUAGUGACGCAUGUCACCACUUUGAAAGAUGGUUUCGGCUAUCGCUUACAGAUGGGCCCGCGGUGCAUUAGCUAGUUGGUAGGGUAAAGGCCUA